rnacentral:rRNA from 1 species
UUUAACGGACGUGAAUUCAGCUCGGUCCUCGCGAUGCUCUAGAUUAGCUAGAGAAGUGGAUGUCUGCCUAUGGUGGAGGAUACCCCGGGAAACUGGGGAUAAUACUCCAUAAGUCAGGAGUACUGGAAUGUCUCCUAACUGAAGUUGCGGCGCCAUAGGAUGAAUCUGCGGCCGAUUAGGUAGUUGUUGGGGUAACGGCCCAACAAGCCUGUAAUCGGUACGGGUUGUGGGAGCAAGAGCCCGGAGAUGGAAUCUGAGACACGAUUCCAGGCCCUACGGGGCGCAGCAGGCGCGAAAACUUUACAAUGCAGGAAACUGUGAUAAGGGAACCCCGAGUGCCCGUAAACGCGGGCUGUCCCGGGUGUUUAAAAUUUUAUUUUGUUUGAAAGGGGCCGGGCAAAGACCGGGUGCCCAGCCGCCCGCGGGUAAUACCGGCGGGCUCGAGUGGGUGACCACUUUUUUAUUGGGGCUUUAAAGCGUUCGUAGCUUUGAUUUUUUUUAAGUCUCUUGGGGAAAUCUCACGGUCAUUUAACUAGUAUGUACGGCCGUCCUAAGUAAUGACAUUAUCUUGGGGUAUUCCUAGGGACCGGGGGAGCAGGGCUUCAG